rnacentral:rRNA from 1 species
UACGUAGGGUGCGAGCGUUGCCCGGAUUUAUUGGGCGUAAAGGGCGCGUAGGCGGCCACGCACGUCCGUUGUGAAAUCGCUCGGCUCAACUGGGCGGGGUCAGCGGAUACGGUGUGGCUGGAGCAAGCUAGGGGGCAAUGGAAUUCCCGGUGUAGCGGUGAAAUGCGUAGAGAUCGGGAAGAACAUCGGUGGCGAAAGCGCUCUACUGGACCGCAACUGACACUCAGGGACGAAAGCUAGGGGAGCGAAUGGG